UCGAAGAACAAAACCAUCGUCCGACCGGCCUCGUUUCCUCCCCCCGCCCUUCCCCGGCCCGGCUCACCCCGCUCAUUGGCCCCCAAGUCAUGGCUUCACUUCUCCAUUUCUUUACGUUGGGCCCGGGUGCCUCCUUCGGAGGUGGUGGCUAAUCGGGGCACGUUAAAAGGCGAGCUUCCCCCUCGCCGACCAGUAAGGAAGUCGCUCGCGCGCCCUGCGGCACCGCUCCCCCCCCCGGCACCCGGACAUGCGGCGCCACGCGCGGCCCCUGGGCGUGCUGGCAGCCGUGGCCAAGGGACUCUUCCUCCUCUGGGCCGUGCCAGCGCGGAGCGCGCAGCCCCCGACCCUGCAGCAGAUCCACGCCCUGGUGCGGCACAUGGCCGAGGACGCGCGGGAGCUCUUCUUCUUCUACGUGAGUGCCACCUCGCCAGACGGCAGGAAAAAGGGGGCGAAAGCCCCCCUCACUUAGCGUGUCAGUGGGGAGGGGGUGGGCUCGCCACUGCCGCCGAGCCCCCGCUGACCCCCUUGCCUUUCCCACGGGCAGGAGCAGGAGCAGCACCUGGCCUUCACCCGGCUGUGCCGCACCAACACCUCGCUGGAGUGGCUGCGGGGGACGGUGGUGACGGGGACCGGGGGGCUGCGGGCACUGCACGGGGCCAUGGCCCGCAUGGACCGGGCGCUGCAGGGCAUCAGCCAGCACCAGCGCGACCUCCACCCCCCCGGGGCCCCCAUCCUGCGCCGCCUCGACAGCACCCGCCUGAAGGUGCGGGGCCUCCUCAGCAACCUGGAGGGAGUCCUCCACGCCCACGGCAUCGUCCCCACCGUCCCCACCCUGCCCCGGCUGCCGGCGGCCACCGGAGUCUUCCAGCAGAAGCUGGAGGGGUGCCGGAUCCUCUGGAGCUACGCACGCUUCACGGAGCAGCUCAGCACCCAGCUGGAGGAGCGAGGGCUGCGGGCGCGCCGGGAGGAGAGGAGGCAGCAGCGGCGAGGCCGGCGGCGAGGUCGGCGGCCAGCGAGGUCCUAGGGAGCCCCUGCCACCCCCGCUGCUGUCACCCGAGCUGUCCCCAGCGCCCUGAGGCUUGCGGUUGGAUGCGGAGAGCCCGGCGCGCGGCUGGCGCUGGCACAGACGUCCCCCAGGUGCCACCGCGUGUGGAGGGCAACAUCGGCCAGCGGGGUCACUCUGGGUUGGUGACGUCCCCCGUUUGCCAGCCCUGCCUGAUUUUCCAGUGAUUCAAUGGGUCUGGUGACACGGCCUGACUAAGGGGCUGCUCGCACGGCACCCGCACGCCCGGCGCAGGCAGGGUGCAGCCCCAGACCGACCCUGGCCGCUUGUGCCACCGGCUUGUCACCGAUAUGUCACCCCCUGCCUGCCUCUCGAGGGGUUCGCUGAACCCAGAGAGCAUCUGAGGGUGGCUUUCCUUGAGCCUGGCGUCCCUGUGAGCUUGGUGUCCCUGUGUGCCUGGUGUCCCCAUGAGCCUGGUGUCCCCGUGCACUCUGUGAGCGCAGUGUCCCUGUGCUCAUCCCUGCACGCCUGCUGUCCCUGUGCCUGUCCCCGUGCCUCAUGUCCCUGCAUUGUGUCCCCUCAGCAUCCCCGUGCCCACCCCUGGGCCCUCGGUGUCCCCAGCGUCCCCGAGCCCUGCACUGUGCGGGUGGGCACCGGUCCCCCAGUAACUUAUACGUGACAGUGGUGCAGCUCCCCUAUUUAUUGAAACCAUCGGUUUAAUUUAAUAUAUCCCUGCACCUGGGAGAAAUAUUUAAGGAUACCUUUUUUUAAUAUAUAAAUUAUAUAUAUCUAUUUUUGUUAUUUUUUUUUGUACUGUGUUAAGCUGUAAAGGUAACGAUGUUUUAUUUAUGAAUCUAAAUAUUAUUUUGUACUGGGAGAAGGGCACCACCGGGCCAUCCUGCCCAGGUGGUGCCCCCUUAUUUUUAUAUCACAGCAGAUGGAAAUAAAGCAUUGACCUCGGCCCGUGGGCUUAUGCCUCUGGCCUGGCACCUGUGUGUGUGUGUGUCUGUGUGUCCAUGUGUCCGGCUGUCCGUGUGUCCGGGUGCCUGUGCCUCUCCCAGCCCUGAGAAAAGCCCGCGGGGUUUGCUGUGCGCAGGAACCGACUCAUUCCGCGAGUGCUUCUGGGGCUUUUCAGGGCUGCAGGGUCUGGUGCUGCCAGGAAUUCUCCUGAGCGUGGUGAUGUGGUGAGGGCACAGCGAAACCUGAACAAAUUCAGAAACUGAUUAGCAAUAACCUGAAAGGAAAGUGGGGCCACAAGAGGCCCGGGGGGACAAAGUGGGGGACAAGGCUGGAGGGAAACUGCAGAGCAUGGGGAUGAUGUGGGACGUGGCGUGGGGUGGUGUUUGGGAUGGGAUGGUGGUGCAUUGUGGCACAUGGCAC
rnacentral:lncRNA from 1 species